CGCGGCCUAUCAGCUUGUUGGUGAGGUAAUGGCUCACCAAGGCGACGACGGGUAGCCGGCCUGAGAGGGUGACCGGCCACACUGGGACUGAGACACGGCCCAGACUCCUACGGGAGGCAGCAGUGGGGAAUAUUGCACAAUGGGCGAAAGCCUGAUGCAGCGACGCCGCGUGAGGGAUGACGGCCUUCGGGUUGUAAACCUCUUUCAGUAGGGAAGAAGCGAAAGUGACGGUACCUGCAGAAGAAGCGCCGGCUAACUACGUGCCAGCAGCCGCGGUAAUACGUAGGGCGCAAGCGGUAUCCGGAAUUAUUGGGCGUAAAGAGCUCGUAGGCGGUUUGUCGCGUCUGCCGUGAAAGUCCGGGGCUCAACUCCGGAUCUGCGGUGGGUACGGGCAGACUAGAGUGAUGUAGGGGAGACUGGAAUUCCUGGUGUAGCGGUGAAAUGCGCAGAUAUCAGGAGGAACACCGAUGGCGAAGGCAGGUCUCUGGGCAUUAACUGACGCUGAGGAGCGAAAGCAUGGGGAGCGAACAGGAUUAGAUACCCUGGUAGUCCAUGCCGUAAACGUUGGGCACUAGGUGUGGGGGACAUUCCACGUUUUCCGCGCCGUAGCUAACGCAUUAAGUGCCCCGCCUGGGGAGUACGG
rnacentral:rRNA from 1 species